GCUUUCGGCCAUAUCACUUUGAAUGCACCGGCUCUUGACCGGUCACCGAAGUUAAAUAAGGUCAUGGACCAGUUCAUAGUUAGAUGUGUGACUGUUUGGAAAUCUUAUUUGCUGUUAGUA
rnacentral:rRNA from 1 species